UCCUUGAUAGUCUAGUGGUCAGGAUAUCUGCUUGUCAUCGGAGUCAUUCCAUGAAAUCGCAGGGGACCUGGGUUCAAUUCCCAGUCAGGGAG
rfam:Colletotrichum tofieldiae strain 0861 Ct_v4_contig216, whole genome shotgun sequence.